rnacentral:rRNA from 1 species
GCCAGACUCCUACGGGAGGCAGCAGUGGGGAAUAUUGCACAAUGGGGGAAACCCUAAUGCAGCGACGCCGCGUGAGCGAGGAAGUAUUUCGGUAUGUAAAGCUCUGUCAGCAGGGAAGAAGAAUGACGGUACCUGAAGAAGAAGCACCGGCUAAAUACGUGCCAGCAGCCGCGGUAAUACGUAUGGUGCAAGCGUUAUCCGGAUUUACUGGGUGUAAAGGGAGCGCAGGCGGUUCUGCAAGUCUGAUGUGAAAGCCCGGGGCUCAACCGCGGGACUGCAUUGGAAACUGCGGGACUGGAGUGUCGGAGGGGUAAGCGGAAUUCCUGGUGUAGCGGUGAAAUGCGUAGAUAUCAGGAGGAACACCGGUGGCGAAGGCGGCUUACUGGACGAUGACUGACGCUGAGGCUCGAAAGCGUGGGGAGCAAACAGGAUUAGAUACCCGAGUA